rnacentral:lncRNA from 1 species
GGAGAAGUCAAGGACAGUGACACAGCCAGCCAGUCUGAGGCAUUUUCCAUCAUCCUGAAGGAGUUGCCCUAUCCUGCUUUUCACUGGAGGGGGCAUGGAUGGAUCUGGAAUGUAUAAUUGGAGUAGACAUUCUCAGCAGCUGGCGGAAACCCCGCAUUGGUUCCAUGACAUGUGGAAUGAAGGCUACGAUGGUAGGAAAAGAUAAGUGGAAGCUGCUAAAACUGCAUUUACCUUGAAAAAUAUUAAACACAAAGAAACACUACAUUCCUGGAAAGACUGCACCAUCAAGGACUUGAAAGACUCAGGGACGGGGUGAUUCUUAUGUUCUCACUCAACUUGCCUGUGCGGGAGUCAGAUGAAUCUUGGAGAAUGACAGUGGAUUAUUAUAAGCUUAACUAGGUGAUGACUCCAAUUGCAGCUGCUGUACUGGAUGUGGUUUCAUUGCUCGAGCAAGUUAAUACAUCCCCUGGUACCUAGUAUGCAGCUAUUGAUCUAGCAAAUGCCUUUUUCUCCUUACCUCUCAAUAAGAACAACCAGAAUCAGUUUGCUUUUAGCUAGUAAGGUCAGCAAUAUAGCUUCACUGUGCUGCAUCAGGGGUAUGUUAAUUCUCUACCACUAUGUCAUAAUUU